rnacentral:rRNA from 1 species
AUGGGUUGUAAACUUCUUUUAUACGGGAAUAAAGUUAGCCACGUGUGGCUUUUUGUAUGUACCGUAUGAAUAAGGAUCGGCUAACUCCGUGCCAGCAGCCGCGGUAAUACGGAGGAUCCGAGCGUUAUCCGGAUUUAUUGGGUUUAAAGGGAGCGUAGGCGGGUUGUUAAGUCAGUUGUGAAAGUUUGCGGCUCAACCGUAAAAUUGCAGUUGAUACUGGCGACCUUGAGUGCAACAGAGGUAGGCGGAAUUCGUGGUGUAGCGGUGAAAUGCUUAGAUAUCACGAAGAACUCCGAUUGCGAAGGCAGCUUACUGGAUUGUAACUGACGCUGAUGCUCGAAAGUGUGGGUAUCAAACAGGAUUAGAUACCCUGGUAGUCCACACAGUAAACGAUGAAUACUCGCUGUUGGCGAUAUACGGUCAGCGGCCAAGCGAAAGCAUUAAGUAUUCCACCUGGGGAGUACGCCGGCAACGGUGAAACUCAAAGGAAUUGACGGGGGCCCGCACAAGCGGAGGAACAUGUGGUUUAAUUCGAUGAUACGCGAGGAACCUUACCCGGGCUUAAAUUGCAACUGACUGAACCGGAAACGGUUCUUUCUUCGGACAGUUGUGAAGGUGCUGCAUGGUUGUCGUCAGCUCGUGCCGUGAGGUGUCGGCUUAAGUGCCAUAACGAGCGCAACCCUUAUCGAUAGUUACUAGCAGGUCAUGCUGAGGACUCUAUUGAGACUGCCGUCGUAAGAUGUGAGGAAGGUGGA